rnacentral:rRNA from 1 species
ACGCACGCUGGCGGCGUGCUUAACACAUGCAAGUCGAACGGAAAGGCCCUGCUUGCAGGGUACUCGAGUGGCGAACGGGUGAGUAACACGUGGGUGAUCUGCCCUGCACUUCGGGAUAAGCCUGGGAAACUGGGUCUAAUACCGGAUAGGAGCCAUUUUUAGUGUGAUGGUUGGAAAGUUUUUUCGGUGUAGGAUGAGCUCGCGGCCUAUCAGCUUGUUGGUGGGGUAAUGGCCUACCAAGGCGGCGACGGGUAGCCGGCCUGAGAGGGUGGACGGCCACAUUGGGACUGAGAUACGGCCCAGACGCCUACGGGAGGCAGCAGUGGGGAAUAUUGCACAAUGGGCGCAAGCCUGAUGCAGCGACGCCGCGUGGGGGAUGACGGCCUUCGGGUUGUAAACUCCUUUCGCUAGGGACGAAGCUUUUUGUGACGGUACCUAGAUAAGAAGCACCGGCUAACUACGUG